rnacentral:tRNA from 1 species
UACGCGUUAGUUAAAUGGUAUAACAUUGUGUUUCGGCCACGAUAUUACAGGUUCGAAUCUUGUACGCGUAA